CCCUUGCAGUUAUAAUAGGAGGAGCACAAGGAAGACCUGGCGAUCCAGGCCCACCAGGUCCUCCUGGGGAUAUUGGUCCACCUGGUUUGCUCGUCAGAGGAAGUCCGGGACCAGAAGGGGACAGGGGAACUCCAGGUCUACCUGGACUUCAUGGUGAAUCAGGACUACCAGGAAGAGAAGGGACUUGUAUUCCAGGACCUAAAGGUGAUCGUGGAUUCCCUGGCAACCCAGGAAACCAAGGCUACCCUGGUCCACCAGGCCCUCAAGGUCUCGUAGCAUCAGGGUCAGAAGGAGACAGAGGAGAGGCAGGGUUCCCAGGAAGCCCAGGUUUUGGUGGGCCCCCAGGAAACCCAGGCCCUCAAGGAC